rnacentral:rRNA from 1 species
CAGUAGCCGCGGGAAUACGGAGGGUGCAAGCGUUAUCCGGAUUUAUUGGGUUUAAAGGGUCCGUAGGCGGAUCUGUAAGUCAGUGGUGAAAUCUCACAGCUUAACUGUGAAACUGCCAUUGAUACUGCAGGUCUUGAGUAAAUUUGAAGUGGCUGGAAUAAGUAGUGUAGCGGUGAAAUGCAUAGAUAUUACUUAGAACACCAAUUGCGAAGGCAGGUCACUAAGAUUUAACUGACGCUGAUGGACGAAAGCGUGGGGAGCGAACAGGAUUAGAUACCCCUGUAUCCCUGUCUCUUAUACA